GAUGAACGCUGGCGGCGUGCCUAAUACAUGCGAGUCGAGCGAACGGACGAGAAGCUUGCUUCUCUGAUGUUAGCGGCGGACGGGUGAGAAACACGUGGAUAACCUACCUAUAAGACUGGGAUAACUUCGGGAAACCGGAGCUAAUACCGGAUGAUAUUUUGAACCGCAUGGUUCAAAAGUGAAAGACGGUCUUGCUGUCACUUAUAGAUGGAUCCGCGCUGCAUUAGCUAGUUGGUAAGGUAACGGCUUACCAAGGCAACGAUGCAUAGCCGACCUGAGAGGGUGAUCGGCCACACUGGAACUGAGACACGGUCCAGACUCCUACGGGAGGCAGCAGUAGGGAAUCUUCCGCAAUGGGCGAAAGCCUGACGGAGCAACGCCGCGUGAGUGAUGAAGGUCUUCGGAUCGUAAAACUCUGUUAUUAGGGAAGAACAUAUGUGUAAGUAACUGUGCACAUCUUGACGGUACCUAAUCAGAAAGCCACGGCUAACUACGUG
rnacentral:rRNA from 1 species